UGCGCAGGCGGACCUAUUAGUCAGUGGUGAAAUCCCGGGGCUCAACUCCGGAACUGCCAUUGAUACUGUAGGUCUCGAGUUUGGUUGAAGUGGGCGGAAUGUAGCAUGUAGCGGUGAAAUGCAUAGAUAUGCUACAGAACACCGAUCGCGAAGGCAGCUCACCAAACCAAAACUGACGCUCAGGCACGAAAGCGUGGGUAGCGAACAGGAUUAGAUACCCUGGUAGUCC
rnacentral:rRNA from 1 species